rnacentral:rRNA from 1 species
UUGAAACACGGACCAAGGAGUCUAGCGUGUGCGCGAGUCAUUGGGUGAAAAACCUAAAGGCGCAAUGAAAGUGUCAAAGCUCGCUCUGCGACGCUUUUUGGGAGGAUGGGCGUCGUAAACCGUCGCCCCGCACUCCCGGGGCGUCUCAUUCUCGUUUCGAGUCGAGACGCACCAGGAGCGUACACGCUGGUACCCGAAAGAUGGUGAACUAUGCCUGGCCAGGACGAAGCCAGGGGAAACCCUGGUGGAGGUCCGAAGCGAUUCUGACGUGCAAAUCGAUCGUCUGAGCUGGGUAUAGGGGCGAAAGACCAAUCGAACCAUCUAGUAGCUGGUUCCCUCUGAAGUUUCCCUCAGGAUAGCUGGCUCUCGUGUGAGACGAGUCUCAUCCGGUAGAGCGAAUGAUUAGAGGUGAUGGGGUCGAAACGACUUCAACCUAUUCUCAAACUCCCAAUAGAUGAGAGCCCCGGCUUGCUUGAAUGUGAAGCCGCGGGACUCGGAUCAGAGGGCCAAGUGGGCCAAUUUUGGUAAGCAG